rnacentral:rRNA from 1 species
AUUUAACGCUGGCGGCAGGCCUAACACAUGCAAGUCGAACGAGUGGCGGACGGGUGAGUAAUGUCUGGGAACCUGCCUUAUGGAGGGGGAUAACUACUGGAAACGGUAGCUAAUACCGCAUACCCUAAGAUGUGCCCAGAUGGGAUUAGCUAGUUGGUGGGGUAACGGCCACCCAAGGUGACGAUCCCUAGCUGGUCUGAGAGGAUGACCAGCCACACUGGGACUGAGACACGGUCCAGACUCCUACGGGAGGCAGCAGUGGGUAAUAUUGCACAAUGGGCGAAAGCCUGAUGCAGCCAUGCGGCGUGUAUGAAGAAGGCCUUCGGGUUGUAAAGUACUUUCAGCGGGGAGGCGUUACCCGCAGAAGAAGCACCGGCUAACUCCGUGCCAGCAGCCGCGGUAAUUC